UCUAUUUUAAUUUUUAUUUAAUAAGGAUUUUGAAAAUCUUUUUCGAUAAAUCAUGUAGUAUUUAUCAUCUAGUG
rnacentral:tRNA from 1 species